GGCAACCCACUUGGGUCUCCUUACAGUCUGUGGAAGGUUUGUUCUUUCGCUCUUUGCAAUAAAUCUUGCUACUGCUCACUCUUUGGGUCCACACUGCUUUUAUGAGCUGUAACACUCACGGUGAAGGUCUGCAGCUUCACUUCUGAAGCCAGCGAGACCAGGAGCCCACCAGGAGGAAUGAACAACUCCAGACGCGCUGCCUUAAGAGCUGUAACACUCACCGCGAAGGUCCGCAGCUUCACUCCUGAGUCAGUGAGACCAUGAACCCACCAGAAGGAAGAAACUCCGAACACAUCCGAACAUCAGAAGGCACAAACUCCAGACGCGCCACCUUAAGAGCUGUAACACUCACCGCAAGGGUCCGCGGCUUCAUUCUUGAAGUCAGUGAGACCAAGAACCCACCAAUUCCGGACACGAUACCAACUCUUUCAUGCCAUGAGAAGCCUCCUUAAAAAAUUUCUGUGAUUAAAUAACAGCAGCAUAUGGGCCAAAAUCUCCUGAAAGUUGAGCAGGGAAGCUGGAGAAGAAUUCCUCCUUUUCUUGCAGAUGAAAUCUCGUGAUAUAGCGGGGUUACCUGGCCAAGAAGGAACACAGAGGAGAACAAAGAAAAUUCAAGGGACUAAAUUCCCUCUCCACCUCAACCACCAGCAUUGAUAACUCCAUCACUUAUGUACUGCAUCAAGCCGUCCUCAGAGGUGAGGAAGGUGCUGUCCAGACUAGAAGCAUGUGUCCCUCUCUCCAUUGCAAGAUGGGACAUAGAGAGGAGAAAAGUGGCAGACAGAAGUCUCAGGUAUGUCUUUAUCAGCAGCAUGAAAAGGGACUAAUACAGGGACCAGUGAUAGCAUCUACCUCAUGGACUUUUUAUGAGAAUUGAAUGAUUUAAUAAAUGUAAAAGACUUAGAACACUGCCUCAUCUAUUAUAAACAGUCAAUAAAUAUUAGUAUCAAUUUUCAUUGAAUCCUAAUCAGUAUAACUAUAAUGUUACAUUCAUGAAUAAGACAAAGGCUGGGACCCAAAAAGUGAGAUAAUUCACUCAGACCUC